UGGGGAUUAUUGGACAAUGGGGGGAACCCUGAUCCAGCCAUGCCGCGUGUGUGAAGAAGGUCUUAUGGUUGUAAAGCACUUUAAGCGAGGAGGAGGGUACUGGUAUUAAUACUACCAGGUACUGGACGUUACUCGCAGAAUAAGCACCGGCUAACUCUGUGCCAGCAGCCGCGGUAAUACAGAGGGUGCAAGCGUUAAUCGGAAUUACUGGGCGUAAAGCGCGCGUAGGUGGUUCGUUAAGUUGAAUGUGAAAGCCCCGGGCUCCACCUGGGAACUGCAUCCAAAACUGGCGAGCUAGAGUAGGGCAGAGGGGGGUGGAAUUUCCUGUGUAGCGGUGAAAUGCGUCGAUAAAGGAAGGAACACCAGUGGCGAAGGCGACCACCUGGGCUCAUACUGACACUGAGGUGCGAAAGCGUGGGGAGCAAACAGG
rnacentral:rRNA from 1 species